rnacentral:rRNA from 1 species
GUGCCAGCAGCCGCGGUAAUACCAGCUGCACAAGUGUAUAUUAAAGUUGUUGCAGUUAAAAAGCUCGUAGUUGGAUAUCUGUCUUGGCUGACCUAGCCCUAGGCCUUCGGGAUUCUGGUGUGCUGGUUGUGGAGACCUCUGCUUCGGCAGUUGUGUUUCCCGUCAUGUCGGACAUACUUCAGGAAAUCUAUCCUGCCAUUAAUUUGGUUGGGGUAAGGAUCCUGAUCGUUUACUUCGAAAAAAUUAGAGUGUUUAACGCAGGCUUUUAGUCGCGAAUAGAUUAGCAUGGAAUAAUAAGAUAGGACUUCGGCAUCGUUAGUGAGUGCCUUGGUGGUGGUUGACUCGUGCUCUUCGGAGUGCGUUGUUAAUUGCUUGCCUUGGAUUAACGCCUGCUUG